UUUUUCCUCUUCGCGAUGGCCCUCCGUUUCUUCCUCUACCCUCUUCCUCACCAAUUUAUCGAUUUCAUCCAAAUUCCUUUGAAUUCGUUUCAGACGCAGUGCCUCACCACAACAACAACCACCUCUCAUCCCUCAAACCUUCUUCAUCCCCUCCUCCUCCGCCCAAAACUGUUGAUGAUGUUUGGAAAGACAUAAUCCUAACUCACUCUCGCAGAGACCCACCUCACCAUAAUCACCACCCUUUCGAGGAAAUGACUCUUGAGGCUCUCCUCUCAAAAAAUGCUGUCGUCACUGAUGACGAUGUCAUCGCUGUUCUUCCUCUUUAUAAUCAUCAUCCUAUUUCUCAUCAGUUUCCGUAAAUUUCUGCCGGCUCAUCCUCCUCUGCAGCUGCUAGGUCUAGGGAAUGCAAAUAGGAAUCUCACUACUGGGGGCUAUAAUUGUUGAGUUGGAAGGAACAGGAGCUGAAUUAAAGUUGAGAUUUUUCAAUCUUUAUCUCUAUAACUUUAAAUUACUUGAUGCAGCUUCUUGAGUUCGUCAUUUCAGUAUCCAAUUGUGAAAAUUAGUACAAAAGAUCAAUCUUUUAUUGACUCUAUUACGGUGAUGUGAAAAUUGUUAGUUGGAUUUAGAUCUAAUUGAUUAUUGAAUACCCGUGAGCUAUCAACAGUGAGUGGAAUAGAUUCAAAAUGUAUGUUGAUGAUAAUAUUAUAUAACAUUGAUGUGACACUGAAUGUGCAGGAACUUAUAGAGUAAUAGAUGCAUUGGGUAUAUAUUUUAUGCAAUAUGAUAGAUCUGGAUAUAAAAUACAGGAAGAUACUGAUCCAAUGGACACUUUGGCUUGCAAAAUAUUCUCCAAGACUAUUGCAACUGGGAGUUUAAUCCAUUGAAGCUAAGCAAUUCAUUCUCUCACAACACAAGUAAAGUUCACAUUUGGCAGGGAUAUGAAGACAAGGUUGUACCCUCUCAAAUCCAGAGAUUUGUUUCAAGGAAUAUGCCAUGGAUAAAUUACCAUAAAGUUUCAGAUGGUGGACAUUUGAUUAUCCAUUAUAGUGGUUUGUGUGAGGCUUUUUUGUGCGAACUUUUACUUGGUAAAGAAACUAUUUCAUAUAGCCCUAGCUAGACCAGAUAGAGACAUACUUGUAUCUUAAUUUCUUCUCAUGUGUUUUUUUUUUUUUAUA